UACGGAGGGUGCGAGCGUUGUUCGGAAUCAUUGGGCGUAAAGCGCGCGCAGGCGGCCCUUUAAGUCUACCUGUGAAAGGCCGGGGCUCAACCCCGUGGCAAGCAGGAGAUACUGGAGGGCUGGAGAGGGGCAGAGGCCGGCGGAAUUCCGGGUGUAGCGGUGGAAUGCGUAGAGAUCCGGAAGAACACCAGCGGCGAAGGCGGCCGGCUGGGCCUCAUCUGACGCUGAGGCGCGAAAGCGUGGGGAGCGAACAGG
rnacentral:rRNA from 1 species